GACGAACGCUGGCGGCGUGCUUAACACAUGCAAGUCGAACGGAAAGGCCCCUUCGGGGGUCCUCGAGUGGCGAACGGGUGAGUAACACGUGAGUAACCUGCCCUUGACUUCGGGAUAACUUCAGGAAACUGGGGCUAAUACCGGAUAGGAAUCCUUGCUGCAUGGUGGGGGUUGGAAAGCUUCGGCGGUUUUGGAUGGACUCGCGGCUUAUCAGCUUGUUGGUGGGGUAGUGGCUUACCAAGGCUUUGACGGGUAGCCGGCCUGAGAGGGCGACCGGCCACAUUGGGACUGAGAUACGGCCCAGACUCCUACGGGAGGCAGCAGGGGGGAAUAUUGCACAAGGGGCGGAAGCCUGAUGCAGCAACGCCGCGUGCGGGAUGACGGCCUUCGGGUUGGAAACCGCUUUCAGCAGGGGCGAAGCUUGUGGUGACGGUACCUGCAGAAGAAGCACCGGCUAACUACGUG
rnacentral:rRNA from 1 species